GUGUCAGCAGCCGCGGUAAUACGUAGGGAGCGAGCGUUGUCCGGAUUUAUUGGGCGUAAAGAGCUCGUAGGCGGCUUGGUAAGUCGGAUGUGAAAGCUCCAGGCUCAACCUGGAGUCGCCAUCCGAUACUGCCAUAGCUAGAGUCCGGUAGGGGCCCACGGAACUCCUGGUGUAGCGGUGAAAUGCGCAGAUAUCAGGAAGAACACCGGUGGCGAAGGCGGUGGGCUGGGCCGGUACUGACGCUGAGGAGCGAAAGCGUGGGGAGCGAACAGGAUUAGAAACCCUAGUAGUCC
rnacentral:rRNA from 1 species